GUAGGAUAAGCUAAGCACACUGUUGGUUAUGUGUGCCCAAGCAUUGAGGCAGUCAAAGUAGGCAAAUCCGCUUUGAUAAUGCUGGGAUGUGAUGGGGAGCGAAAUUUAGUAGCGAAGUAGCUGAUUUCACACUGUCAAGAAAAGUCUCUAUCGAGGUUAAAGGUACCCGUACCGCAAACCGACACAGGUGGGUGAGGAGAGUAUCCGAAGGCCAGCGAGAGAACUGGUGUUAAGGAACUCGGCAAAAUGACCCCGUACCCUAGGGUUAAGGGGUGCCACCAUCAGGUCGCCGCAGAGAAUAGGCCCAAGCGACUGUUUACCAAAAACAUAGGUUUCUGCUAAGUCGCAAGACGAUGUAUAGGAGCUGACGCCUGCCCGGUGCUGG
rnacentral:rRNA from 1 species